AUUCUGCAAAUGUAUUUUAUCGAAGAAAAACAUACUAAAAAGUAUAGGAAAAUCUAAUGAAUACCAUGAGCUUUAUAAUCUUAAUCAAAUGUAUUAGAAAAUCCAUUAAUUUUCAAAUGUUUAUAUUUAUAUAGAAUUUAUAUUUUGCAUAUCUGAUAAAUUUACUAACAAUUCGCAUCGACUCGACAUCGACUGAUUUGUAAGGUUUGGUUUGGUAAGAAAACCCGUAAAAUGGCCAAAAAAGUACUGAAAACUUUACGCACCGAGGCCGAAAACAUCGCUAGCGAUGAAGGUAAGUGGAAAAACUGUUUUAUAUAGCUAUAAUUUUAAUUUUUUCUACCCCCCGUACAGCUCGCAUUAGAUGCGAAAAAAAACUCUACCAUCCGGCCGGACAAACGCCGGAACUGUUCCAGCGCCGAACGAGGUGAAAACUGGGCAGAAACGACCAUGCAUUCACAUCAUGAACAGCAGGCGGAAAAAAAAAUCACUCGUCCAGUUCCUCAAUCAUGAUUGCGAAAACAUAAUCACAACAUUCCGAAGGCUGGAGCAAGAGAUCAACACCACAGAAGCAGCUACCCUGUCAGGAAGGUUUGCUCAAUCGGGCCGAUUACAAAACAGAGAUGCCAGCACUCGAAUUCUAGCGGUUAGAAUUCGAUCUAUUAUCGGCUCGAUUUCCAUCCGCCUGCUCGAUUGCUCGAAAACCGACGAUAUUUUUUGCAGUGCUGCUAUGAACAAAACGAAACACGAGCAGUUUUCAAUUGCAGCAAUCUGGGCGCGUGUUUCGUUUUGGUGCGUGAUUGUUGUGUUGUGAAUGUUUCCGCUGUUUUUGUUCAGAAACAUUUUGAGCGCUGUAGUAAAAAAAACCAUUGUCCGGCGAUAAUUUAAUAAUAAGCAAGUAAACAUCGGCUCAUGCAAACAAAGCUUCCAAGGAAAUGUCCCGUGGGUAAAAGCUUUGGUGGAAUUUCAUCCGGACCCACUCAGAGGUGGUCGCUUCACUUGGAUGACUUUUAAUUAUUUUUUGGCGUGAUACUUAAAAGUGGAAAGCAAGAUUCGAAUUUUGAAAAUGUUUGAUUGAUUGCAUUUGAAUAUCCUCUGAACCGAUCAUUUUCAUCGGUUAAGGUCGCGGUACACCUCAGGUGAAAAUGAAAAAUCUUAUUUUGUCAAAAACUCAAAAAAGUGACACAUAUUGGCUUAGUAACAUGGUGGAAUCGUUGGGGAAUAGUUAAAAGCUGAAUUUCGAACCGGUCUCAGAGUUCCCCAGCAACACCCAGGCCAGCAUGCAAAAAUCUCUUGCGCUUGCAGUUCCAUGAUGUUAACGUAUGAAGUCGUAUGGGGUAUAUGGUCGACUUUGCCGGUCCAUCAUUUUAAUGCAAAAAAAACGCGCACAACAGAAGAAGAGAAAAUCAAACAUAAAACUGGCCCCGUUUCCGUUUGUGAAGCUGUUUUCAUUAGUGGUUGCACUAAGCAAUAGCUAAUGCCUUCUUCAGCAGUCUCGCCAAACUGGAAAAGCGGUGAACUUGACGGUAAUCCCGGUGGAUUAGAACAAAGUCUUCGUGAAUCCUCCACUUCCAGCCGACAUAAUGGGAAGUUCAACACCGUCACUCAACUAUUAGCUUAAAAGCAGCAAAAACUGUUGGUGUCAGCAGCAACUGCAACAGCAGUAUCAGCAUCGGUUUUUCACCUGCUGCGUCGUCGAAACCUUCGGUGGCCGGAUCCAAUUUCGGGUCGACUAUGCGAGACCGCGCCCCCACAAUCUGCAACAAUAGGCUGUGCUAAAUCCUAAGUUCAGACAAUAGGUACAAACAGUCUUACUCCCGUUCGAUGUGAUCAUAGAAUGAAAGCUACAGAUUUAGAGGAAUACUAGAGCUGAGAACGAGUUGCUGGGUAUGAGGACGAUAACAGCUAUUUUUUUAGUGAAGUGCAGCAGUUGUAAUUGGAUCCACUAGAUGCAACAUAAUAAAAGGGGCGCUAAGACGGACGAAUGCUGUGGUCCUGUGUGUAUUCAUUGUAUACCGUGGAUUCCUCGCAAUGCAUGUGAAGACGUUUUUGGCUCAGGAGAUUGCCAUCGAUGCCAGUAUCAAUCUGCAGGAUAAUUGCACAUAAAAACAAUCGUCCGUUCAACAUGACUUUUUUUAACUCAUCGCUUUUGGGAUUUCUACAAACAGCUAAAUCGGACGAUGUCGAUUCGAUGAUGGACGUAAAAGAGCGAAAGGUUACUUAUAAUGGUUUACCGAACUCUUUGACUCCGAAGUUUGUCCCAACCAAGCAGCUGUUGCUGAUGACUAUGAGUUCGAUUACGUAGCUUUGUAGAGUAGCUAAAGGAAUUCUAGUAAUUUGAUGACAGCUCCAGAUGAUGUUGAAGUAAAUAAAUAACGAUUUUCCACUUUCACUGACGAGUUGUUACCUUGUCGCGAUAGCGAUGCCACAGACACGGUCAGUGAAUGCAUUCGUCGAGAAAGUGGGUGAAACUAUAUUUGGGCCCAGUCAUAGCUUCCCUAUACCGAUCACCCACCGUACAAUUAAUAGCUCUGGUAUGGAUGUCCUUCACGUGCCUACAUCGUAGCCUCCACCGCUUGGUCGGUCCAGUGAAAAAGAUGCAUGCACUAUACUUUUGUCGGAAGAUGAAUCCCUCAAAAAGGGUUUUGGCACAAAAAACUAAACCCACAUUUCGAUUCGAUCACCCGGGAGUUUUUUUAGUUGCCAUAAGCAAUGAUACUAAUCUGCAGAAUGAUUCUGGUAGCCAUUUUUAUAGCCGUAACUUUUAACAUGCAACGUCAAAGAUGUAAAUGCGAGGAAAAUACAUUAAGAAAAAUUCAAUAAAAUAAAUUUGAAGAUGAUUUACCGUGAUUUACCAUCGAAAUAAACCUCCGGUGGUACAGAACAAGGUCAUCAACAAAAAAGCCCAGUAGCAACAGCAACAGAAGCAUCAAAGCUAGCCCAAAACUUUGAUUACGGAGGUGUUGAAAAACUAGUAUCUUGUCAACCAAUUUCGUAAAUUGAGUCUACCAUUUCCGAAAAUUUCGGAGGGUACGAAACCGCAGCUAGACCAAGUAUAUCAACUACUUCAAUCAAUAUUCCUCCGUAUUUUCUCGGAUAAUGAUGAAGUUGUGAAAAAAUCGGGAUCUCAACCUACUAGGAAAACAAGUUCGACUGCUACCACUGCAUGUGCUAUAACAACAAUUGGUGCACCAACGUUCAGCUCCGGAACGAUGACUGGUAAUUUGAGUGAUUCUAUUUAAGAUCAGUAUUGGUCAGUGAGAUCAUCGAAAGGAAUUUUAUUGAACAAGUUUUUUUUAAUGUUAUGUAAGUUAAACGACAUGCUAUCUAUUAAUCGAUGUCAUAUUCGUUUUUCUUUCAUUUCAGUUUCAGUCAACAGAAAAAAAUUUUACGGGCAACGUUCGGCUGCAUCAAUUCGAUGGGUUCCAGAUUGAAAAGCGGGACAAGUAUUCACAUGAGAUGAAACUGCCAAUAUAAACGUACCAACCAAAUCAUUAAAAUCGUCGAGUGUUUCAACAGCAUCAGACAAACAGAUACCGCGGCCUGCCUAACCUACACUAUGAAGCACACAAGAAAAAAGUUCGACCUAAAUUCCUUGGCUGUGUACUCUGAAGGUAGUUAUGAUAAGUAAUGGAAGAGAAAGAGAAAUUGACGAACCAUCAGAUCUUACUAUUGCUAGAAUAGAAAUCAGGACAUUGAUGCCUGUCAAUAUUAAUAUUGUUCAAUAUUGACGCCAAUAAUGUGUUCCUACAAUUUGUCAUUAUAAUGUUUGUUAAUAUUUAAUAGACAUCUCAUACAAAAUAUGAAAAACAAAUAGAAAAAUCCAUUAAUUUGAGAAAAUUAGGUAAAGUCGGAGUGCUAUCGAUUUGGCCGACGAAGAAUCGAAUAAAGAGAAAUUCUGGUGCUCCUUUUUACGUGAAGACUUUUUUGAAACGUUUUUGUUAACAUUUUUAUCUUUAUUUUUAAUCUUUCAGAUUCUAUCGAAAUAUUCACAAACUGCUCUUCGAAGGCCCCAUUCUAAAAGAACUCUAGGUAGAUUGUAUGGAAUAUAUAUUUUUUACCACUCCCAACAAUGAAUAGAGCAAAUUAAUUUAAAAAAAAAGGAAACCCAGUAGCGCCACGACCAAUGAAGAGCCGUCAUCUGGUGCUGGAAACGGUUCCGACGCAGUCAUUCCCUCAGUGGUUGCAUCAACAAUUUCCGUUCCGAAGGCCACCACCAUUCCUUCCAUCCCACCAGGAAUGUUCGCCCAACACAUCGUAUCAGCCGCUGCUUAUACCUCUUCUUGUGCCAUUACCGAUUAAGAAGCGGAAGAUGGUGACGACGAUUAUGCAUCGUUUCCAGCGAAUAUGAUCUUCGGUCAGUCAAAAUGGGCGAUGAAGAUUAGAAUCAGGUGUUCUGUGGCCGUUCAAAGUUGUUCAGGACGACAAACAGUUUAAGAGGCCUCGGCGAGUUGAAAUUUUGUGUAGCAAAACUGAUCCAAGCAAAUUUCGAAUUGUCAUGCGAGGCGAACAGAUGCACAAAAUUGCUGCCAACCAUUCGAUUGAAUAAGCUUGCGCCAAACAUCGCAAUGUUUUAUAGUCGAAGAGGCAGCAAACGAAUGUAUUAGAAGAACAAAAACUAAAAAAUAAACUAAUGAAAUAAAAAUCUAGCUUUUUGUAACAAAACCGAAAAACCUAAAUGAAUGGCAACAAUGCUAAUUGGCCCAGAAACGGUUCGAAAAACCGUUCUGUUUCGGUCCGAAAUCGGUCCUUUUUUACAGAUGGAUGCUAUGGCAAUCGGCCCAGAAUCGGUUCGAAAAAUCGUUCGGAUUCGGUCCGAAAUCGGUUCUUUUUUUCGGAUAGAGGCUAUGGCAAUCGACCCAGAAUCGGUUCGAAAAUUCGUUCGGUUUCGGUCCGAUAUCGGUCCUUUUUUCGGAUGGACGCUAUGGCAAUCGGCCCAGAAACGGUUCGAAAACCAUUAGGUUUCGGUCCGAAAACGGUUCGCUUGUUUUGACAUUUGAUCUGCUCGAACUGGUUGAAAAAACUUAUCGUCGUCCGAAAAAGUGUUUCAUUUUCGCACGAUUUUCUACUAAACUCGGCCCGAUUUCUUAUACGAUUUCGGACCGAUCGAGCAGAUGAACGGACAAAAAUCGGGCCGAUUUCGG